CGUUAACUCUGGCGGUAGGCCUAACACAUGCAAGUCAAACGGCAGCACAGUAAGAGCUUGCUCUUACGGGUGGCGAGUGGCGGACGGGUGAGGAAUACAUCGGAAUCUACUUUUUCGUGGGGGAUAACGUAGGGAAACUUACGCUAAUACCGCAUACGACCUACGGGUGAAAGCAGGGGAUCUUCGGACCUUGCGCGAUUGAAUGAGCCGAUGUCGGAUUAGCUAGUUGGCGGGGUAAAGGCCCACCAAGGCGACGAUCCGUAGCUGGUCUGAGAGGAUGAUCAGCCACACUGGAACUGAGACACGGUCCAGACUCCUACGGGAGGCAGCAGUGGGGAAUAUUGGACAAUGGGCGCAAGCCUGAUCCAGCCAUACCGCGUGGGUGAAGAAGGCCUUCGGGUUGUAAAGCCCUUUUGUUGGGAAAGAAAAGCAGCAGGUUAAUACCCCGCUGUUCUGACGGUACCCAAAGAAUAAGCACCGGCUAACUUCGUG
rnacentral:rRNA from 1 species